rnacentral:lncRNA from 1 species
AUUUAGGUUCCUAAUUUUUUAAUCCAUUCUGAGUCAGGAGUUUAGCUUUUAAGAAAAAGUGGUAAAGUAGUAUAUUUUAUGUUGUCCCUCUGCAUAUUUUAAUACUGUGAUCUUCAAAUCCCUAUGAUGUUUGUCUAAUCUUGAUUAUUUAAUUGGUUAAGUUAGUAACUUUUUUUGAGCUUUCCCAAAAUUAUUCAUGUUUUAAGGUAGUUUGUGUUCCUUUAGUGGUUUUCAUAUUUUGAGGGAGUACAUGUCUGGAGGUGUGGCUAUUCUCUGAUUGUGUUAAGGUUAACAUGAGAAUGAUUGCCCUGUUAUCCUUCUAAUGAAAAGAACUCUUUAUUGAAAUAAUUAACAUGCCAUAAAAGUCAGUACAGUUUAUGACUUUAAAUAAUUUGGUUGUGCAAGAAUGUGAUGGAAAUUUUUUUUUUACUAAUAUGAAUAUUUAGAAUGAGAAAAAAAAUCACAACCUUAAAAACUGAUAAAUAUCACAGUUACAAAAUCCAGAAAAGUAGCUAUUAGGUGUUUGAUGAAUCCCUGUAAUCCUUUUUUCCCUCUGAUUUGUAUUUCUGACAGGUUCACUGAGAUGUAAUUCACAUACCAUCCAAGUCACCCAUUUAAAGUGGCUUUUGGUGCAUUCACAUAGUUGUACAACAAUCAUCAAAAUCAAUCUUAGAACAUUGUCACCAUCCUAGAAAGAAACCAUUCUUCAUUAGCAGUGAUUAUCAGUUUCCUUUUACCCCAACCCCAAGC